rnacentral:rRNA from 1 species
UACGUAGGGGGCAAGCGUUGUCCGGAAUCAUUGGGCGUAAAGAGCGUGUAGGCGGCCAGAUAGGUCUGCUGUGAAAACUCGAGGCUCAACCUCGAGCUGUCGGCGGAAACCAUUUGGCUAGAGUCCGGAAGAGGAGAGUGGAAUUCCUGGUGUAGCGGUGAAAUGCGCAGAUAUCAGGAAGAACACCUAUGGCGAAGGCAGCUCUCUGGGACGGUACUGACGCUGAGACGCGAAAGCGUGGGGAGCGAACAGG